rnacentral:rRNA from 1 species
UACGUAGGGGGCAAGCGUUGUCCGGAUUUAUUGGGCGUAAAGAGCGUGUAGGCGGCUAGAUAGGUCCGUUGUGAAAACUCGAGGCUCAACCUCGAGACGCCGGUGGAAACCAUCUAGCUAGAGUCCGGAAGAGGAGAGUGGAAUUCCUGGUGUAGCGGUGAAAUGCGCAGAUAUCAGGAAGAACACCCGUGGCUAAGGCGGCUCUCUAGUACGGUACUGACGCUGAGACGCGAAAGCGUGGGGAGCGAACAGG